GGAAGUCAUGGUCACUGAAUGCUUUUCUCCAGCGCCACACUGCGGCGUAGCCAGAGUGGACCUCCACAGGACCAUUCCUGUCUGUGGUACCAUGCCCCCUUUAUGAGUUUGAGUUACCAGGGAUUGAACUUGGGACCUUGCCCUUGUGAGUGGCCCAGAAGGACUAGUGGUGUUUUUAUCCCCAUUGACAGAUGAAGAGGCUGAGGUCCCAAGAGGACAAGUGGCCACCCAAGGUCACACAGCAGCAAACAUGGAGCUGGAAGGAGACACAGGUUAUUAGAGGCAGCACCCCGUUCACUGUCCACUGUGCUUUGUCAUUUCCAUCUCAAACUGGAGAAGAAAAAGAAACUUUAUUGUUAUGACACUCAGUACUGUAUUUGAAAGACUAAGUUGUAACUGUUUAUAGUUUACUUCUGAGCUCAGACCACGCAGUCUAAGCUACUAGCUAAAGCACACUUUUUAUUUCACGGGGCUCUUCCCCUUUAGGGAGAGGAAUAAAUGCUAUGAGUUUUGCUCAUAAGGUUCAUGGCUGUGGGUAUUGACUCUACUUGGG
ensembl:lncRNA